AGUCCUCGGCCUCAGCGCGGGGCUUUCUCGUCCUGCUAGUUCCGCUUUGCGCCCUGCGCCGCCGUCGGGCGGUGAGGCUGAGGUGGGCGCUGGUACCCGGUGUGCUCCGCUGUGUGUGGCCGUCCCGGGCGGUCUGGUCAGAGCCCCAGUCCCGGUCUGGCUCCAGGUCUGCGGACGGGCCGUCUCGGCGUGUCCGCCUGGACUCCUUCCCGCCACGGGGGGGGGGGGGGGGGGGGCGGGGCGGUGCCGGCUUGUCCGCUUCGGGGCUGGGCUGGGGUGUCCGUCCCGAGAGCGGAGGGCGGUGCGAGGAACGGGUGGGGCUGCAGGUGACUCCCGUGAGGACCUCGGAGUCGGCCGAGGCGAUGGCCGCAGGGAUCCUGACAGCCCGACCCCCGGACCUUGGACCCCAAAGCCAGAUACCGUUGCCCACCUAGAAUUCAGAAUAGAGCCACGGAUGAUGGACAGAGGGCUCUCCCAAGAUUCCUGCCUAGAGUAGAAAAAGAGACCUAAAAGCCAAGAGUCACCGCCAACAGAGGCCUUUUCUGGUAAAGAGUUACCAAGCAGCAGAGUGAACCUGACAAGAUCCACAGUGGGUGAUUGCUGGCCUUCUACCCGAGCAGACAGUCGGGAGUCUAGGGAUGAGCCAGAGAAGCAGGAGAUGCAUGACGGCAGCUUGGGGUCAAUGGAACGUGAACAAGGGCAAGUAGUGACCCAGGAUGGGGACUGGGGAAAUGCUGAAGUUGUGGAAAAAUGCAGCUUCAAUUCAGACUUUCUUUCUGCACAGAAAUUUCUUGUCAAAGAAUAUUUCCGUCAAAUUGACUCAGUUCACAGCUGCCAGCAUAAUUUUGUUUUAAAAAAUUGUCAGGAAAUCUUGGUAGUGAAGAAAGCUUAUAAAGGCAAUCCAUGUGGAAAAGCCUUAGGAAAUCUGUAUAAAUUGAGCAUGGUAAAUAUACCAACCAGAGCAUAUACCUUUCUACACAUGAGAUUAUUAAUGUAGGAAAUAAACCCUAUGGCUUUAAAGAAAGUGGAGAUUUUUUUACCCAUAGCUCAUGCUUCUCUCACUUCAUGAGAACUCAUACUAAGGAGAAACCCUAUGAAUGUAAUGCAUGUGGGAAAGCCUUUAAGAAACUUUCAUCUCUUUCUUACCAUCUGAGAAAUCACAAUAGAGAGAAAGCCUAUGAAUGUAAUGAAUGUGGGAAGUCUUUCUGGAAGAGCCUUCACCUCAUUUUGCACCAGAGAACUCACACUGAUGAGAAACUUCAUGAAUGUAAUAAAUGUGAAAAGUCUUUUAGCCAUAA